AAAAAUGGCAGCUCCCCCUCUAAAAAUGAUGCCCCAAUAUGACAAGAUAUGGGCUGUUAUUUUCAAAAAGCACAGAUGACCAAACCAUGGUCCUAGGCUCUAAGUCAGAGAAUUUGCACUUAGAACUGACUGUUGCCUCUUUUGUGACUUACAGAGUUGUACACUCAAAGCAAAUCUGUGUGGGGACGAAGAGUCAGGAUCCAAUGGCCAUCUGUUUUACCAACAGGACAAAAGGAGCUCCCACACUGGUGAGAGUGGAAAGAGCACUCAGAGCAAAAAAACAGCAUAAACCAAGCCAAAGCCUGGAAGAGAAAAAGCAAGAGGAUGUACGGAGCGCAGACCCAGUUUGGCUGAAUUAUAAAGUGUGGAAUGAAAAGAAAUGAGAGGUGAGAGUGAGGCCAGAUGGCCUUGAAUAUCAGAAAAUAAUAUGGCCCUUAUCAUGACAGCAGUGGGAAGCCAUUGAAGGAUUUUUUUUUUUUAAGCAGGGAAAUAUGAUCAUCAGAACAGAGUGCUAGUACAUGAGAUGAUUAGACCAGGAGGCAGUGGCUGUGACAGUUCAGUUCAUUACAGCCAGGACAACAGCCCUGCACACUUCCAAGCCCUCCUGCUCUGCCAUCUAAACCUGGAGAAUUCCCUUGUACCACUACUUUACUUUGGAGAAGCUCUGACUCCAAAGAAUUAUUUGCUUCAAGCACAAGAGCAAGGAAAGUGUUGAGCACUGAGAUGGCUCUGGCAUUAAACAGAUGAACAUUCAAACCGCAAUUCUGCCAAAGAGUGUGACCUUAGGCAAGUCAUUUCACCUCAUGAUACUUCAUUAUUAUUUUCAAAAUGGGAUAAUGCUGUAUUUUGUGGACUCCAAGAUUUUUUUUACAUUUCACUGUUAAAAUCAGACAGUGCCUUACGAUCAACAGCAUGCCCGAGUUUAAGUAGCAAUGCUUUGUGUUCUUGAUGAGUCAUAGAGCAAUGGUGUGACUCACAAUUGAUGGCAUCUUAGAUUGACUAAAUACAGUAACACCUACCUCCUAAGGUUGUGAGAUUUAAAUGAGCUAUUGUACAGAGCAUGCUUAGCUCAGUGCCUGAACUGAGGCUGGAGCUUAAUAACAGUAGCUACCCUAACAUGGGGGAGGAGGCAGUAGGACAUAGUGCUUCAGAGCCC
rnacentral:lncRNA from 1 species